rnacentral:rRNA from 1 species
AGUGUUUGAUCCUGGCUCAGAACGAACGCUGGCGGCGUGCCUAAUACAUGCAAGUCGAACGAGAAAGUGGCUUCGGUCAUGAGUAAAGUGGCAGACGGGUGAGUAAUACAUAGGUAACCUACCUCCAAGAUGGGGACAACCUUCCGAAAGGAGGGCUAAUACCGAAUAAGACCACAGUUACAUAAGUAACAGGGGUUAAA